GGCCGGCGGACGCCAUCGCUGCACCCCCUGCCCCGGCCCGGCCCGGCCCGGCAGCCGCCACCGCCUCCUCCCUCCUCUGCGCGCACGCCCACGGCCACGGCCACAGCUGCCCCGCCUCCGCCCGAGAAGGAGGGGGACGGGGGGAGGAGGAGGGGCCUCAGGAGUCCGGGCUGCUCCCGGAAAAAAACCCUGGGGCCGCUCCCACCUCCGCGCCCCCACCAAUUCCCAUGGGGUCUGGGCGGGGUCAGUUACAGAAGAGGCAACUGAGAGAAAGCGACCGCCCUCCCCAAACAAUCCAGAUCAGGAACACCAAACAAGCCAUCAACGGAGGCAUGCCGCACCCUUUGAUGGCAGUCUUCCACUUGGGCAAAGAAAAACAGGGGGCACAUGUUGUCUCUUCAGAGUCAGGCUUGGUCUCUAUAAUGAUGGCGUUCAGGUUCCAUUUUUUGGAAAUGUUCUUUCCCUUUCCACCGUUCUAGUCCUUGGGAACGUUGUUCUGCUUACAUCACAUGGCAUCUGUUCAUCGGAGUUAUCCUAAGCUUCUCUGGGGUCCUCCCGGUCAUCCACCGCAGUUUGUUUGACCAUUCCCCAAACCACGGGCAUCUGUGCAGGGUGCACUUUCAGAGCUGAAAUGGUUUCCACCUCAAAUGAUCUAGAUGGAGAUAUAUAGAUUUGGGGGGUUCAAACUUGAGACUUCAUCAUUGGGAAGGAAGUCUUGGUGUUGAAACUCCCCUGGCAAAUGGAGGUCAACAGUGUCACUGAUGCUCAUAGUCUUCAAGACUUGCCCAAGGGCACCGAGGUUAAUCUACCUAUGCUGAAUCACCCAGCUAGUAUGUAUGUGCAGGCGUCACCCUUGCCUUGGUCCUGAGGCUGCCUUGCUAUCUGGGACACCAUAUUGAUUCUCAAAAUGCCACAAGUCCCAAAUUCCUUAUUGCUCAAAUGCUGAUAUCCUGUUCUCUAAACAAAUGUUGGAGGCUCAGAUAUGAUGUCUCCAGCUACCUUCCCCAAGGUCAUAUCAGGACACCAGCAGCUGGGAAUGAAACUCCUUACAGAAGAAUUAUAAAUUAUUUUUAAAAACAAUUUCUCUCUGCAGAUAAUUUCUUUUCCUUCCUUCCUUUCUCUCUCUCUUUCUCCCUCCCUCUCUUUUCUCCCUCCCUCUCUUUCCCUCCUCUCUCUCCCUCCUUUCCCCCUCUCUCUUUCUUCCUCCCUUUCUCCCCCCCCCCUUACCUUCCAUCUUAGAAUCAAUACUGUGUAUUGGUUCCAAGGUAGAAGAAUAAUAAGGGCUAGGCAAUGGGGGUUAAGUGACUUGCUCAGGGUCACACAGCUGGGAAGUGUCUGAGGCCAUAUUUGAACCCAGGACCUCCGGACUCUAGGCCUGGCUCUCAAUCCACUGGGUCACCCAGCUGCCCCCAGUAUGACUCUUUAAAGAAGUGAAACAGUCCCAGUGUGUCUAGUUCCUGAGCUGAACAGGCUGGCAAAGCUUUUUUUGAUGGGCGUCUCUGUCUCCAGAGGCUGCUUGCCACUUAUCAGUCCCUGCCAGAGGUCUUUUACUCUGAGAAGUAGCAUGUGAAGGAGGACCUCAUAUUGCCACUCCCUAGUUAUUUUUCCUAAUGUUGAAGCAUCUGAAGUUGGGGCUCCUGGGCUGGGUUCUGGUGUAUUUCUAAAGAUACUCAGCAGUUCACUUAAAUUGUUUAUUUUUGCCUUUAAUAGAUUAAGGUUCUCUUUCAGAAUCUAGCACAUCUGCUAGGAUUCAUGAUGUGGAGAUCUCAGGUGCUUUGGGGCUGAACACACAAAAUGACUCAUCCUUUAGUCUCCUAUUGGCUUGUUUCUUUAUUAAAUCUUUAUCCCUCUAGGUUCCCAAGGCAGUCCAGAGAUAUAGACAUCCUGGAAUUUCCCCAGAUGUUCUAUCUUUGUGUCUCUUUCUGUCUCUCUCAAGCUCUGUCAUGCAGAAGAGCUUGAGGAAAUGAGAUUCCAGACACCGCUCUCCCUGGAAUCUCAUUUUCUCAAGCUCUUCUGCCUCUCCACUUCUAUUAUCUCCAAAUAUGUGUAAAAAUAAUUUUAGCAUUGUGACUUAAAUCUAAAUUUAAAUGGUUGUCAGGGAAAAUCCCAAAUAAUAAAAUACCCAAGUCAGCUGGAAAUUUUAUGGUG
rnacentral:lncRNA from 1 species